rnacentral:lncRNA from 1 species
AUGAAGCUCAUGAGAUUUUUGAUGAAAUGGUUCAUGAAACUGUAACCUUGAAUUGAAAAGUGGAACACAGGUCUAUGGAACAGUCACAGGUGUGGAUGUCACCGUGAUACACAUCUUAAAGCGUGAAAAUGACCCUGAAGACAGAGAACCUGUACAGUUGGAAACACAAAUUUGAGGAAGUAACAUUAGAUAUUUUACUCUACCAGACAGUUUACCUCUGGAUACACUACUUGUGGAUGUUGAGCCUAAAGUAAAAACCUAAGAAAAGGGAAGCUGUUUGUUGCAGGAAGAGGCCAAUGCAGAAGAAGAGGUAGAGGAAGAGUACAUGGCCAUGGCAGAGGGAGAGGGGGUCCUGGUGGUAAUGUCUCUUAAGAUUA